CACCAGGUUGAUUCUGCCUGACGUGGACGCUUGCCUCAAGGAUUAAGCCAUGCAAGCUAGCGAAGGUAACGGAGCGGCGAACGGCUCAGUAAGACAGGCGGAUCUGACCACUCAGAAGGAUAACCACGGGAAACUGCGGCUAAUACAGGGUGGGUGAAAGCCUGGCCUAUCAGCUAGUCGGUACGGUAAUUGCGUACCGAGGCGAUGACGGGUAACGGGGAAUCAGGGUUUGAUUCCGGAGAGGGAGCGAGCCUGAGAGAUGGCUGCCACGUCCAAGGACGGCAGCAGGCGCGAAACUUACCCACUUGGAGGACCAGAGGUAGUGACGAGGCGUGAUUAUGAGUCUACGGUAAAGAAGUAGAUGAAAGCGACUGGAGGGCAAGUCUGGUGCCAGCAGCCGCGG
rnacentral:rRNA from 1 species